AUGCAGCUGACAUUGUCUUCUUCGCAGGACUAUUGCUGCGGUCCCCAGAGCCUUCACCCUUCUGUGCACAAUGGCAACUCUUAAGGAAAAACUCAUUGCACCAGUUGCUGAGGAAGAGGUAAUGGUCCCAAACAAUAAGAUUACUGUAGUAGGUGUUGGACAAGUUGGUAUGGCAUGUGCUAUCAACAUUCUGGGAAAGUCUCUGGCUGACGAAUUUGCUCUUGUGGAUGUUUUGGAAGAUAAGCUUAAAGGAGAAAUGAUGGAUCUGCAGCAUGGGAGUUUACUUCUUCAGACACCUAAGAUCAUGGCAGAUUAAGAUUACUCCGUGAUCGCCAAUUCUAAGAUUGUGGUGGUAACUGCAGGAGUCCGUCAGCAAGAGGGGGAGAGUCAUCUCAGUCAGGUGCAGAGAAAUGUUAAUGUCUUCAAAUUCAUCAUAUUGUCAAGUAUAGUCCUUAAUUAUAUUAUAAUUGUGGUUUCCAACCCAGUGGACAUUCUUACAUAUGUUACCUGAAAACUAAGUGGAUUACCUAAGCAUUGUGUGAUUGGAAGUGGGUGUAAUCUGGACUCUGCUAGAAUUCGCUACCUUAUGGCUGAAAAACUUGGCAUUCAUCCCAGCAGCUGCCAUGGGUGGAUUUUGAAAGAACAUGGCGACUCAAGUGGUUGUAUGGAGUGGAGUGAAUGGCAGGUGUUUCUCUCCAGAAAUUGAAUCCAGAUAGUGAAAAUUGGAAGGAAGUGCCUAAGAUGUUGGUUGAGUGCCUAUAGUCAUCAAACUUAAGGGAUAUACCAACUGGGUUACUGGAUUAAGUGUAGCUAAUCUUAUUGAAUCUAUGUUGAAAAAUCUAUUCAGGAUUCAUCCAGUCUCAGCAAUGGCAUUGAGAAUGAUGUCUUCCCGAGCCUUCCCUGUAUCUUCAAUGCUCAGGGAUUAACGAGUGUUAUUAACCAGAAGCUAAAGGACAAUGAGGUUGCUCAGCUCAAGAAAAGUGUGGAGACAUCUGUGGGACAUCCAGAAGGAUCUAAAAGACCUGUGACUAUGCAGUUCAAAGUUGUAGAAAUUUAAAAAUUACAAUAUGAUUAACCCCAAGCCUUCAGUUUUCAUUCAUGUACAUGAAUCACAGUGGCUUUUCUCUUCCUUAAUAUGUGAAUUUGGGCUUACAGAACCAAAGUCCAUGCUUGGUUUAAUGCUUGCAAUAUGAGUCCUUGAACAAAUAAAAUUAACUUUAGUAGUGUGAAAAAAAAAA